AAUUAAAUAACUUAAUACUGUGAACAAAACAGAAUGUAUAAAAUAUGUAAUAUAAUUAAUAUUUAUGCAUUGAAUGUUUUAUCAUGUAAUAUUGUUAAUUUCGAUGGAGAUAGUUGGAGUUAAGAGUACUAAUAGGCGAGCGGUGAAAUGCAUUGACCCUAUUAAGACUAACAAAAGCGAAAGCACUUAACUAGAUUAUACUCUUUGUAUAUUAUUUACAAUGAAGAGCGAAGGUUGGGGGAACAAAGAGGAUCAGAUACCCUCGUAGUCCUAUUUUUACAUCAAACUAUGGGAUUUCAAUUGAAUAUAUAUAAUAUCCUUCAAUCAUUAUAAUAUUAAUAUAUGAUUGAGAUUUUUAAAUAUUAAUCUCUCAUAUAUAUAUAUAUUUAUUUAAUUGUAAGUAAUUAAUAAUUGAUUAUAUGUACUUUGAGCUCAUAUAAUUAAUAUAGGUGAGAUGUAAGCAUUAUAGGUGAACAAUAUACUUAUAUAAUGUAUAAUGUAUUAUUGUAAUCCUUAAUAAAAAUGUAAUGUGAUG
rnacentral:rRNA from 1 species